rnacentral:tRNA from 1 species
UCCCUGGAGGAAUAGUGGUUAGGCCUUGGUGCUCUCACAGCCACAACCUGGGUUCAAUUCCUGGCCAGGGAA